rnacentral:lncRNA from 1 species
UCAUUAUCCUAAUUGGUAUACUUCGUAGAUAAGAAGACAAACAAUUGAUACCGUCUUAUAACACUCAGUGCAAUUUACUGUUUUGUAACCUCUGGUAAGUUUGGUUUAUGAUUGCCUAUCACUCAAAAAAACAACGAACAGAAUCACCAAAGAUGACUAAUAUAAAACUGUUUCAUCAAUAAAAUGUAUUAUAAUAUGAGCAACUUGCCUAAACAAUGACAUGUGUAGCUUUAUGCUGUUGUUUAUAUGUAGUAU